rnacentral:lncRNA from 1 species
CUAGAAUGAUAGGAACUUUGUAAAGGAAGAGCAGCCCAGCUUCAGAUGAGAUUGGAGGGGUGGGCAAAUGGGCAUGUUUUUAACACGUAAAAAAGCUUGGUUUUAUCCCAAGAAUGAUGAGCAGUCUGUAAAGGGCUUAAUUACGGCAGGAAACACCAUAUUAUUAGUGUUUUAAGAAGGUGACACUGGCUAUUUGUUUAGGUGGCAUUUGUAUUGUAGUGGGUAACAGUGAAUGUGGAUUGCUUGGUUUACAGAACUGAAAGGCUUGGCCACUCAAAGACAGGGUCUCUCUGUUGUCCAGGCUACAGUGCAGUGGUGCAAUCAUAGCUCACUGCAGCCUCGAUCUCCUGGGCUCAAAUGAUCCUCCCAUCUCAGCCUCCGAAGUAGCUGGAACUACAGGCCAUCUCAAAGACCCUAUCUAUGAGGAAGAAGAAAAGAAGUAGAAAGAGGAAGAGAAGAAGGAAAAAAAAUAAAGAAUAGGGAAGAGGAAGAAAAAGACAAAGAGACUCAAGCCCUAUCCUAAGUUUGUUUUGUUUUAUUUUCAAAGCAAUAUGUGAUAGCAGGUCUCAGAGUUAGGAGGAAGUGCCGUAUAAUGGAAAGAACACAGGCUAAGAAGCAAAGUUUAAUUUAUAUCUUAUUUGCUUUAUGACCUUCAGGAAGUAAUUUAACCUCUCUAAUUCUCAUUUUCCUCAUUUCCAAAAUGAAACAACUAAAAUUUACUUUUCAAAACUAUUGUAAAUAUUGAAGAUGAGGUCUAUAAAGAAGCUGGUGAUAAUUGUUUAAACAGGCUCUUAUAAUCAAAACAAGGUAAUUCCUUGGUACUUAUUAUAACAGAACCUGAUUCACAUAAUCUCUCUCUCUCUCUCUCUCUCACACACGCACACACACACACACACACUUUAACUUUUAGCAUGCAUAAAAAAUUAGAAGAUAUAGGUAAAUAAAAUUUGACUUCAGUAGGCUUUUGCUAUUUCAUGAUUUCUCUCCAAUCCAGUAUCACUUUAACUUGUGGAUAUAUAAAAAAACAAAAGAAAAAAAAAAUCAGUGGGACUCCUGUCUGCUCUUCCACUAAUUGAUUUAAAUGAAAACUGACUUUAUUGGUUGAUAAUCAAUAUGGAGUUGAGAAGGCAGUACCCCAGGGUUUAGGAUUUGAGCAAUAUCAUUUUUGUGAUUUGCCUUUGGCCUUCUUUUAUGUUACUGAAACACGACUGUUUAAAAUAAAUCUUUGUGAAUUGAAGAAGCAUUUUAUUUCUUAUCCUGAAUAAAAAAAAAUAUUACUGUAAUAGACCCCAUGGCUUUCUCCUAGACAUAUAAAAAAGUUUGAAUUUAAGACAUAAAGUGGUUCAAGUGGUUUUCUA